rnacentral:rRNA from 1 species
GUGUCAGCCGCCGCGGUAAUACGGAGGGUGCAAGCGUUAAUCGGAAUUACUGGGCGUAAAGCGUGCGUAGGCGGCUUGUUCAGUCAGAUGUGAAAGCCCUGGGCUUAACCUGGGAACUGCAUUUGAUACUGGCAGGCUAGAGUUUAGUAGAGGGGAGUGGAAUUUCAGGUGUAGCGGUGAAAUGCGUAGAGAUCUGAAGGAACACCAGUGGCGAAGGCGGCUCCCUGGACUAAAACUGACGCUGAGGUACGAAAGCGUGGGUAGCAAACAGGAUUAGAUACCCUGGUAGUCC